AAGUCGUAACAAGGUUUCCGUAGGUGAACCUGCGGAAGGAUCAUUAUUGAUUGGCCUCAUGGCCCUUUCAUGUCCGACCUCUGUGAACCGUGGCCUCCGGGCCGUAUUUAAACAUGGUGUAAUGAAUGUAAUUACUUUAAAAAAACAAAACUUUCAACAACGGAUCUCUUGGCUCUC
rnacentral:misc_RNA from 1 species